GUUGAACGCUGGCGGCAGGCCUAACACAUGCAAGUCGAACGAGUGGCGGACGGGUGAGUAAUGUCUGGGAAACUGCCCGAUGGAGGGGGAUAACUACUGGAAACGGUAGCUAAUACCGCAUACCAUCGGAUGUGCCCAGAUGGGAUUAGCUAGUAGGUGGGGUAAAGGCUCACCUAGGCGACGAUCCCUAGCUGGUCUGAGAGGAUGACCAGCCACACGGGAACUGAGACACGGUCCAGACUCCUACGGGAGGCAGCAGUGGGGAAUAUUGCACAAUGGGCACAGGCCUGAUGCAGCCAUGCCGCGUGUAUGAAGAAGGCCUUCGGGUUGUAAAGUACUUUAAGCGGGGAGGCGUUACCCGCAGAAGAAGCACCGGCUAACUCCGUGCCAGCAGCCGCGGUAAUUC
rnacentral:rRNA from 1 species